rnacentral:tRNA from 1 species
AUGGCAGUAGCUAAGUGGUAGAGCUCCUGCUUUGUACGCACGAAGACAUGGGUUCGAUUCCCGGCUGCUUUC